rnacentral:rRNA from 1 species
UACGUAGGGGGCUAGCGUUAUCCGGAAUUACUGGGCGUAAAGGGUGCGUAGGUGGUUUCUUAAGUCAGAGGUGAAAGGCUACGGCUCAACCGUAGUAAGCCUUUGAAACUGAGCAACUUGAGUGCAGGAGAGGUUAUCGGAAUUCCCGGUGUAGCGGUGAAAUGCGUAGAGAUCGGGAGGAACACCAGUGGCGAAGGCGGCCAACUGGGCUUUUACUGACGCUGAGGCUCGAAAGCGUGGGGAGCAAACAGGAUUAGAUACCCCUGUAGUCCCUGAGCGGGCU